rnacentral:rRNA from 1 species
GAUGAACGCUGGCGGCGUGCCUAAUACAUGCAAGUCGAGCGAACGGACGAGAAGCUUGCUUUUCUGAUGUUAGCGGCGGACGGGUGAGUAACACGUGGAUAACCUACCUAUAAGACUGGGAUAACUUCGGGAAACCGGAGCUAAUACCGGAUAAUAUUUUGAACCGCAUGGUUCAAAAGUGAAAGACGGUCUUGCCGUCACUUAUAGAUGGAUCCGCGCUGCAUUAGCUAGUUGGUAAGGUAACGGCUUACCAAGGCAACGAUGCAUAGCCGACCUGAGAGGGUGAUAGGACACACUGGAACUGAGACACGGUCCAGACUCCUAAGGGAGGCAGCAGUAGGGAAUCUUCCGCAAUGGGCGAAAGCCUGACGGAGCAACGCCGCGUGAGUGAUGAAGGUCUUCGGAUCGUAAAACUCUGUUAUUAGGGAAGAACAUAUGUGUAAGUAACUGUGCACAUCUUGACGGUACCUAAUCAGAAAGCCACGGCUAACUACGUG